GGGAGCUUAGCUCAGCUGGUUCAGAGCGCCUGCCUUACAAGCAGGAGGUCGCUGGUUCGAAUCCAGCAGUUCCCACAA
rnacentral:tRNA from 1 species